rnacentral:rRNA from 1 species
CACGUAGGGGACGAGCGUUGUCCGGAUUCAUUGGGCGUAAAGAGCUCGUAGGUGGUUUGGUAAGUCGGAUGUGAAAUCUCCAGGCUCAACCUUGAGGGGUCAUUCGAUACUGCCAUGACUAGAGUUCGGUAGGGGAGUGUGGAAUUCCUGGUGGAGCGGUGAAAUGCGCAGAUAUCAGGAGGAACACCCGUAGCGAAGGCGGCACUCUGGGCCGAUACUGACACUGAGGAGCGAAAGCGUGGGGAGCGAACAGG